AUUGAACGCUGGCGGCAGGCCUAACACAUGCAAGUCGAGCGGAGCGGCGGACGGGCGAGUAAUUCCUAUGUAUCUGCCUGGUUGUUGGGGAUAAAUUCCGGCAACGGGCGCUAAUACCUCAUACUAUCACUUGAGUCUCGGUCGUAUUAGCUAGUUGGUGGGGUAAAGGCCUACCAAGGUGACGAUCCGUACCUGGUCUGAGAGGAUGAUCAGUCACACGGGAACUGAGACACGGUCCAGACUCCUACGGGAGGAGGCAGUGGGGAAUAUUGGACAAUGGGCGAAAGCCUGAUCCAGCCAUGCCGCGUGUGUGAAGAAGGUCUUCGGAUUGUAAAGCACUGUAAGUUGGGAGGCGGUACCAACAGAAUAAGCACCGGCUAACUUCGUGCCAGCAGCCGCGGUAAUAC
rnacentral:rRNA from 1 species